rnacentral:lncRNA from 1 species
UCAGACUCAUCACUCAUUAUCUUCAACCACAUGAGAAACCCAGAGCGAGAACCACCCAGCCAAGGCCAAUCUCUAGAACUUCAAAAGCUUUCGGAUCAUCAACUGACAUAGGGGAAGAAGACUUCCAUAGGAUGCUCAACCACCACCCAAGAUCAUGGAACUCCCCAUGAGGCCUUUGUUGCAGGCUGAGGGAGAGAAGGCAGGAUGGCAUAAGUGGAGUGUUUGAGCCACCUCUUCAGGUAAGUUACUUGUGCCUUUGGGACCUGCUCGAGCCCCAACAUAUAUAUACCACUUCCAUUUGAUGAUAGAAUGUUGCUGUGCAUGACUCAAUUUAUGGCUAGACAGGUCAGGAAGCGACCAGUCCAUGAUAGGCAGUUCAGGUAACAUGGUUGCUUGAUGACCCACAGUCAAAAUUCAGUUUUCCAGAAAAUCCAGUAACAGGUCAAGAGCUGUCUCUCAAAAGGAGAGUAAUUAUCUGCAGAAGAUGGCAGAUCUAGAGGCCUCUGGUGUGAUUCACCUAUGACAGCCUGCCAAAGGCUCCAAACAGCAUCUGUAUUUGCCACUGAGACCAGAAGCAG